rnacentral:misc_RNA from 1 species
UUUCCGUAGGUGAACCAGCGGAAGGAUCAUUAUUGUAUAACCGAGGUGCGAGGGCUGUCGCUGACCCGAAAGGUCGUGCACGCCCGAGUGCCCUCACACACAUCCAUCUCACCCCUAUGUGCACCACCGCGUGGGUCCCCCUUUGGCUUGUUCGGAGGGGGGCUUACGUUUUCACACAAACUUUGUAUGCAGUGUAGAAUGUAUUUUUUGUUUUUGCGAUCACGCAAUCAAUACAACUUUUAACAAUGGAUCUCUUGGCUCUC